rnacentral:rRNA from 1 species
AGUAUAGUACUUUGGCAUCAAGGAACUAUUAAAGUCACAACGGCAAAAGAUGAGCAUGCGUCCCAUUAGCUAGUUGGUAAGGUAACGGCUUACCAAGGCUACGAUGGGUAGGGGUCCUGAGAGGGAGAUCCCCCACACUGGUACUGAGACACGGACCAGACUCCUACGGGAGGCAGCAGUGAGGAAUAUUGGACAAUGGGCGCAAGCCUGAUCCAGUCAUGCCGCGUGCAGGAUGACGGUCCUAUGGAUUGUAAACUGCUUUUGUACAGGAAGAAACACUACUUCGUGAAGUAGCUUGACGGUACUGUAGGAAUAAGGAUCGGCUAACUCCGUG